GUCUCAGUUCGGACUGUGGUCUGCAACCCGACCACACGAAGCUGGAAUCGCUAGUAAUCGCGAAUCAGAAUGUCGCGGUGAAUACGUUCCCGGGUCUUGUACACACCGCCCGUCACACCAUGGGAGUCAGCAACGCCCGAAGUCAGUGACCUAACCGAAAGGGAGGAGCUGCCGAAGGCGGGGCCGGUAACUGGGGUGAAGUCGUAACAAGGUACC
rnacentral:rRNA from 1 species